rfam:Penicillium decumbens strain IBT 11843 PENDEC_contig019, whole genome shotgun sequence.
GGCAAGAUGGCCGAGUUGGUCCAAGGCGUCAGGUUAAGGUCCACCUUAACACCAAAUAUUGGUUUCCUGAUCUCGUUUACGGGGCGUGGGUUCGAAUCCCACUCUUGUCA